ACUCCUACGGGAGGCAGCAGUGGGGAAUAUUGGACAAUGGGCGGAAGCCUGAUCCAGCAACGCCGCGUGGGGGAUGAAGGCCUUCGGGUUGUAAAACCUCUUUCAGUACCGACGAAGCUUUUUGUGACGGUAGGUACAGAAGAAGCACCGGCCAACUACGUGCCAGCAGCCGCGGUAAUACGUAGGGUGCGAGCGUUGUCCGGAAUUAUUGGGCGUAAAGCGUGCGCAGGCGGUCUGUUAAGCGAGAUGUG
rnacentral:rRNA from 1 species